CCCCCAUUUUAUUUUCUGAUUAUUAAUGUUGGGACUCGAUUAAACUUAUGUGAAUGAGUUUUUCUGGAGUUGUUCGGUUGAAAUGCAAUAGCAAGAUUUGUGGAUUGGGUGAUAGUUUGAUCUUUACACCAAUUGAUUAGGAAUCUAUCUUUGAACAGAUAAGUCAAGAUGUCUCCAAUUGUUGAUGGUAAUGGAAAUGCCAAACAUAACGAAUCGAGUUCUUCGAUUUUUGAGAUUGGAGAGUCAGAUUUGUCCAGAUUGUUGGAGAAACCAAAGCCUGUAAACAUAGAAAGGAAGAGAUCUUUUGAUGAGAGAUCCAUUAGUGAGCUGUCGAUCUCAUCCCCGCCCCGCCAAUUUUACAAAAACAGUGAGAAUUCGUCGCGUGUCUUUGACAACUUCGGGAGCAUUCAUUCCCCAGGGAGGUCUGGCGUGAGCACUCCCAGAUCGUUCUAUUGUAUGGAGACGCAUCCAAUAGUGGCUGAGGCGUGGGAGGCCUUGCAGCGAUCCAUAGUCCACUUCCGCGAGCAGCCUGUGGGGACUUUAGCCGCUUUGGAUAAUUCAACUGAAGAGCUGAAUUAUGAUCAGGUGUUUGUGAGGGACUUUGUUCCUAGUGCUCUGGCCUUCUUGAUGAACGGUGAACCUGAAAUUGUCAAAAACUUUCUUUUGAAAACGUUGCGCCUCCAAUCAUGGGAGAAAAAGGUGGAUAAUUUCACUCUAGGGGCUGGGGUGAUGCCUGCGAGUUUUAAGGUACUUCAUGAUCCUGUAAGGAACAACGAGACGAUCAUUGCUGAUUUUGGCGAAUGUGCUAUUGGUAGAGUGGCUCCAGUUGAUUCAGGUUUUUGGUGGAUCAUUCUGCUACGAGCAUAUACAAAGUCUACAGGUGACAAUACUUUGGCUGAGAUGCCGGAAUUUCAGAGGGGCAUUAAAUUAAUUUUGGCAUUAUGCCUAUCUGAAGGCUAUGAUACUUUCCCAACUCUUUUGUGUGCUGAUGGUUGUAGUAUGAUUGAUCGUCGGAUGGGUGUUUAUGGUUAUCCGAUAGAGAUACAGGCAUUGUUCUUUAUGGCCUUGAGGUGUGCUUUACAUCUACUUAAAAAUGAUGAGGAAGGCAAAGACUUUUCUGAUAGAGUAGUUAAGCGCCUGCACGCGCUUAGCUAUCACAUGAGAAGCUACUUUUGGCUGGACAUCAAACAGCUCAACGACAUCUACCGUUACAAGACUGAAGAGUAUUCACACACUGCAGUGAAUAAGUUCAAUGUGAUGCCCGAUUCCCUCCCUGAUUGGGUGUUUGAUUUCAUGCCAACCCGUGGAGGUUAUUUCAUUGGGAAUGUAAGCCCUGCAAGGAUGGAUUUCCGUUGGUUCUGCUUGGGCAACUGCGUGGCGAUUUUGUCAUCUUUGGCAACUCCCGAGCAAGCUUCAGCUAUAAUGGAUCUCAUUGAAUCACGUUGGGACGAGCUGGUUGGGGAAAUGCCGCUGAAGAUAUGCUAUCCGUCCAUGGAAAACCAUGAAUGGAAAAUCGUAACAGGUUGCGAUCCAAAGAAUACUAGCUGGAGUUACCACAAUGGAGGCUCUUGGCCAGGUAACUUGCUGUCUCCUCCUCAAUAACAUUUACAUUUAUUUGUCAUCUUUCACAUGGCAAUAAGCUGUACCUUAACAUAUUACAUACUUGUCUUUUUUUUCCAUAGACUGAUCAUCUUUGGCAGGGCCUGCCCUAAGGGUGGGCGAGCCGCGAGUGUGAGCGACGGCCCAGAGCCCAAAAUAUUAGGCAACUGCCCAUAGUAUUAUAUACAAUUACAAGGGACCCUAGACCCGGUCCAAUCUAAUAUAGAUACAUAUAUAUGAUUUUGUUCAAAUAAGAACCUUUUUUUAAACAUAAAAUAGGAAUUAUUUUUGGACCUUAGAUUAUGAAGAUCUAUGUAGAUGCUAAAAAGAGUUAUGAAUUCAUCAUUUUUAAGCAUGUUAUAUCUGAUCAAAAUACCCUUCGUAAUCUUGUGGUCGUGGGUUCAAGCCCCAUGGUGGGCAGCAAUACAAUUAAUUUUGAAUUCACCAAUUUUCAAUUUUCACAACAAAUUCACCAUGAGAUAAUAGUUCGUAUUUUAUACUCUUAAGGUGGGGUUUGUAGUAUAUAUAUUUGAGUGUCACACAUUGUGCUUUAAUGAUGGUAGAUAAAAGGCCUGUUACAUGCCCUGAUCUUGGGUGAUAUAAUAUUGGUGGACACUAAGUUAGGACAUGAUGUUUUGUGCAGUCCUCAUAUGGCUCCUGACAGCAGCGUGCAUCAAGUCCGGACGCCCCCAACUAGCAAGGCGCGCCAUUGAGCUCGUGGAAUCGCGUUUAUCCAAGGAUCACUGGCCGGAGUACUAUGAUGGGAAGCUGGGGCGUUACAUGGGGAAGCAGGCGCGCAAGUACCAGACUUGGUCGAUUGCGGGUUAUUUGGUAGCGAAAAUGAUGCUUGAGGAUCCGUCUCAUUUAGGAAUGAUAUCACUCGAAGAAGACAAGCAGAUGAAACCUCAUAUCAAAAGAUCUGCCUCUUGGAUGUGUUGACAUUAUCAUAUUUCUAGUCAAAAUCCUCAAAUGGAACGCACUGCUAUGGACUUCACCUAUCUUUCUUUUUUUUGUUAUGGGAAGUUGUAAGAAAAUUCUGCAGAUUGAUGCAUAUUAUACCACAAUGUUUUUGUGUCUCA